CUUAGAAGACAGCGCUAUACGAUUUGAUAGGUCGGACACAUUUAAUGUGAUUCGUGUCAUCAGCCAAAUAGAAAACUCCCUUAGCCAAAUGAAGUUGUAUUUUUACCUCAAGUCGGUUGUUCUACAUCAGAAGACACCAAGAAAAUAGCAAUUAUCGGGAUCUUAAGUGUUUUGAUGGAAUCAUAUCCAUCGGAGAGCUACGAUGAAACCAACACCGUUCCUUUGAAUUUGUUAAGGAGAGAUGCUGCCAUGGGAUUAAGUGGGUCUGGCUGGGCAGUUAAAAGUGACGCACACUUG